rnacentral:lncRNA from 1 species
UAUUGAGUUGAGAUGGAGUGCUAAGUGAAGAAAUAUCCUAGGACACGAGUGUAAAUGACUUCAGAGCCAAGAAAUUUCUGAAGUCUGUUUUCUUCUCUCUCUCUCUUUAAAGUUAUUCUGGGCAGCACAUUGACUUUUGUGUGCAGAGCUCAGAAUGUAUAGGCAGAAACAAACUUUGGUCCAAGCUCAUUCAUUUGGUAUAAGAUUGAGAUACCACGACUAACAUUUUACUGCGACAUUGUUGUUACUUUAGUUGUGGUGCCGCCAUCAUUGUUAUAUACUGUGUAUCCACAACAGCACUGUCACUGUGGUUUGAGAGUAAUAGUACUACUGUUAAAUAUUGUGCAGCCGAGUUUGUGGUGACAGAAGUUAGAGAACAACACCCUUUCUUUCAUUUUACAGGCGACCUGCGCUUAAUUUUAAAAGAUAUCGUCUCUUGAGCCGACUAGCUCUUUCUCGACAAAGAAGUCCGGCACCUGAAACUGACUAUGAAACCACCAUUCCCGAGCCACUAGAGGUUUCACUAAAUGCUUAGGACUUCUUUCUCUUGGGAGAAACUUGUGGGUCAGAAGUGGACAAGGAAGUGACAGGUGACAGGGAUGACUGCUCAAAUAGUAGCAGCCCAUGUAUGGCUGAAGGCAUAGACUGUUUUUUGGAUGAUGAGGACACUGUUGCUACCAGGACCAUCGGACUGCAAACAGAAGAACGUGACACUGAAGCAACCACCUUUUCAUCAUUCUUAUGUUACAUGACUCGGGACGGGGUGGCAACCGAAGUUGCUCACAAAGCAGCCGACUCGGCACUCACGGAAACUCCAAGUAGUUCAAGAGAAGUACCCAAGAAGUGGCACAUAUCUUACAUUGUUUACUGAAAUCAAAAGAUGCACAACAGAUGUUACUUCAUAUGUACAAAUGUAAAUUAUAUCGACAAUGUACAGCUGAAGUUUCGGUAAGCUUCCUUUUAAGACUGAUGCCAUUCAUAUCGAAUCAAGCUACGCCAGAUGUACAGCUUGCCCAAAAUAUAAAAGUACUAAAACAGCAGACAGUCUGUUAUUCCGUGCAAUGUUUCGGGCUCUGCGUUUUAUGUGGAAGCCUGUAUAGCUGGAAUCGAACUGUCAUGCAUUACAACUGCUACAGCUGCUGUGUGAGCUUUGUGCUGUUAUCUCAUUACAGAAUUGCACUGUAA